GUCUACGGCCAUGCCACCCUGAACAAGCCCGAUGUCUGAUCUUGGAAGCUAAGCAGGGUCAGGCCUGGUUAGUACUUGGAUGGGAGACCACCUAGGAAGACUGAGUGCUAUAGGCA
rnacentral:rRNA from 1 species